rnacentral:rRNA from 1 species
UACAUGGGGUGCAAACGUUGCUCGGAAUUAUUGGGCGUAAAGCGCACGUAGGCGGUUUGUUAAGUCGGAUGUGAAAUCCCUCGGCUCAACUGAGGAAGUGCAUCCGAAACUGGCAGGCUUGAGUACUAAAGAGGGUCGCGGAAUUCCCGGUGUAGAGGUGAAAUUCGUAGAUAUCGGGAGGAACACCGGUGGCGAAGGCGGCGACCUGGGGUAGAUACUGACGCUGAGGUGCGAAAGCGUGGGGAGCGAACAGG